rnacentral:rRNA from 1 species
UGGAUCCAGACUUUGAUUAUGGCUCAGGACGAACGCUGGCGGCGCGCCUAACACAUGCAAGUCGAACGAGCGAGAGAGAGCUUGCUUUCUCGAGCGAGUGGCGAACGGGUGAGUAACGCGUGAGGAACCUGCCUCAAAGAGGGGGACAACAGUUGGAAACGACUGCUAAUACCGCAUAAGCCCACGGUGCCGCAUGGCACAGAGGGAAAAGGAGCAAUCCGCUUUGAGAUGGCCUCGCGUCCGAUUAGCUGGUUGGUGAGGUAACGGCCCACCAAGGCGACGAUCGGUAGCCGGACUGAGAGGUUGAACGGCCACAUUGGGACUGAGACACGGCCCAGACUCCUACGGGAGGCAGCAGUGGGGAAUAUUGCACAAUGGGGGAAACCCUGAUGCAGCGACGCCGCGUGGAGGAAGAAGGUCUUCGGAUUGUAAACUCCUGUUGUUGAGGAAGAUAAUGACGGUACUCAACAAGGAAGUGACGGCUAACUACGUGCCAGCAGCCGCGGUAAAACGUAGGUCACAAGCGUUGUCCGGAAUUACUGGGUGUAAAGGGAGCGCAGGCGGGAGAACAAGUUGGAAGUGAAAUCCAUGGGCUCAACCCAUGAACUGCUUUCAAAACUGUUUUUCUUGAGUAGUGCAGAGGUAGGCGGAAUUCCCGGUGUAGCGGUGGAAUGCGUAGAUAUCGGGAGGAACACCAGUGGCGAAGGCGGCCUACUGGGCACCAACUGACGCUGAGGCUCGAAAGUGUGGGUAGCAAACAGGAUUAGAUACCCUGGUAGUCCACACCGUUAACGAUGAUUACUAGGUGUUGGAGGAUUGACCCCUUCAGUGCCGCAGUUAACACAAUAAGUAAUCCACCUGGGGAGUACGACCGCAAGGUUGCAACUCAAAUGAAUUGACGGA